rnacentral:rRNA from 1 species
UACGUAGGGGCAAGCGUUGUCCGGAAUUAUUGGGCGUAAAGCGCGCGCAGGCGGUCCUUUAAGUCUGAUGUGAAAGCCCACGGCUUAACCGUGGAGGGUCAUUGGAAACUGAGGGACUUGAGUACAGAAGAGGAGAGUGGAAUUCCACGUGUAGCGGUGAAAUGCGUAGAUAUGUGGAGGAAUACCAGUGGCGAGGGCGACUCUCUGGUCUGUCUCUGACGCUGAGGUGCGAAAGCGUGGGUAGCGAACAGGAUUAGAUACCCCCGUACGU